AUUGCACCCAAACCCCAAAAGACCCUUGUUUUUCCUUAACAAUGAUCUUAUCUUGGGUGCAGACAGUAAAUGGACCUUGUCGCCUUUCUGGAGCUGAUGAAAGUGCCCCAGAAAGUGAAAUAGUGGGUUCUACACUU
ensembl:snoRNA